UACGUAGGGGGCAAGCGUUAUCCGGAAUUACUGGGUGUAAAGGGAGCGUAGACGGUGAUGUAAGUCUGGAGUGAAAGCCCGGGGCCCAACCCCGGGACUGCUUUGGAAACUGCCAUGCUAGAGUGCUGGAGAGGUAAGCGGAAUUCCUAGUGUAGCGGUGAAAUGCGUAGAUAUUAGGAGGAACACCAGUGGCGAAGGCGGCUUACUGGACAGUAACUGACGUUGAGGCUCGAAAGCGUGGGUAGCGAACGGG
rnacentral:rRNA from 1 species